rnacentral:rRNA from 1 species
AUGUAUUCCUGGAGGUGCCAUGACCCCCCAAACCUUCACACAAUGUCUGAAGAUUUUUUUUGGAAGUUCUUAAUUAGAAAAAGCAUAGUCUUUGGCCCCCUCAAGAUUGCUGUAUUUGCCUUCUGCCCCUCCACCAUUUCUUCUCUAGCUCCGCCACUGGACCAGAUGGAAGGAAAGCAUGGUGGGUGGAGGACGGCAGGGAGGAGUAUGUGGCUGAGCCAGAUCCGAUGGGCUGGGAAGAGACUAGGGAGGUUAUUGCUGGAAAACGGAAAGGAGAUAAUCGGUGAAACUCACAGGAUGCAUGGCCACUUCUACAAUUACGCCACAAAAAUACAGCGAUGGUACCAUGUGCAAGAGCAACAAAUUAAUUUGAUUUUCCAAAAGGAAACAUUUUUCCUUAUUUAUUUAGUUGGAAUUCUUGCACGAAAAAACUUUAUACAUGGUAUGCGAUGCAACUAG